CUCGAGCGAAGUGCUUAGGACUUUAUCCUUCGUUAUAAAGACUUAAGUAUCUUAGCGGCGGACGGGUGAGUAACGCGUGAGAAACCUGCCUUUCACAAAGGGAUAGCCUCGGGAAACUGGGAUUAAUACCUUAUGAAACUUUUAAUCCACAUGGAUAUAAAGUCAAAACGUAAAGUGGUGAAAGAUGGUCUCGCGUCCCAUUAGUUAGUUGGUGAGGUAGAAGCUCACCAAGACAGCGAUGGGUAGCCGGCCUGAGAGGGUGACCGGCCACACUGGAACUGAGACACGGUCCAGACUCCUACGGGAGGCAGCAGUGGGGAAUAUUGCACAAUGGAGGAAACUCUGAUGCAGCGACGUCGCGUGAACGAUGAAGGCUUUCGAGUCGUAAAGUUCUGUCCUAGGGGACGAUAAUGACGGUACCCUAGGAGGAAGCCCCGGCUAACUACGUGCCAGCAGCCGCGGUAAUACGUAGGGGGCAAGCGUUGUCCGGAUUUAUUGGGCGUAAAGGGUACGCAGGCGGCCUUUUAAGUCAGAUGUGAAAUCUUACGGCUCACCGUAACUAGCAUUUGAAACUGAAAGGCUUG
rnacentral:rRNA from 1 species